GAUCCUGGCUCAGGAUGAACGCUGGCGGCGUGCCUAACACAUGCAAGUCGAGCGAAGCGGUUUUAAGGAAGUUUUCGGAUGGAAUUAAAACUGACUGAGCGGCGGACGGGUGAGUAACGCGUGGGUAACCUGCCUCAUACAGGGGGAUAACAGUUAGAAAUGGCUGCUAAUACCGCAUAAGCACACAGCUUCGCAUGGAGCAGUGUGAAAAACUCCGGUGGUAUGAGAUGGACCCNGU
rnacentral:rRNA from 1 species